UCCUACGGGGGGCAGCAGUGGGGAAUAUUGCACAAUGGGGGGAACCCUGAUGCAGCGACGCCGCGUGAGUGAAGAAGUAUUUCGGUAUGUAAAGCUCUGUCAGCAGGGAAGAAGAAAGACGGUACCUGACCAAGAAGCCCCGGCUAACUACGUGCCAGCAGCCGCGGUAAUACGUAGGGGGCAAGCGUUAUCCGGAUUUACUGGGUGUAAAGGGAGCGUAGACGCCAGGGCAAG
rnacentral:rRNA from 1 species